rnacentral:rRNA from 1 species
GACGAACGCUGGCGGCGUGCUUAAUACAUGCAAGUCAACUUGACUUUAGAUAGCAAUAUCGAAAAGUAGGGUGGCGCACGGGUGCGUAACGCGUAGGUAAUCUGCCCUGAGGUCUGACAUAACCCGUCGAAAGGCGGGCUAACAUCAGAUGAUAUAUAAUCACGACAUCGUGGAAAUAUCAAAUCUUCGGAGCCUUGGGAUGAGCCUGCGUCUGAUUAGGUAGUUGGCGGAGUAAUAGCCCACCAAGCCUACGAUCAGUAGCUGGUCUGAGAGGAUGAUCAGCCACACUGGAACUGAGACACGGUCCAGACUCCUACGGGAGGCAGCAGUAAGGAAUAUUGCUCAAUGGGGGAAACCCUGAAGCAGCAACGCCGCGUGAAGGAUGAAAUACUUUUGUAUGUAAACUUCUGUAAGAUGGGAAAAAAUAUUCUCCUCGGGAGAAUUGAUUGUACCAUCAGAGUAAGCCCCGGCUAACUACGUGCCAGCAG